AACGAACGCUGGCGGCAGGCCUAACACAUGCAAGUCGAACGGUAACUUUUGGUGCUUGCACCGAAAGACGAGUGGCGAACGGGUGAGUAACGCGUAUGCAAUCUGCCUUUUACUAGAGUAUAGCCCAGAGAAAUUUGGAUUAAUCCUCUAUAAUAUCAUUAAUUCGCAUGAAUAUAUGAUUAAAGCUUCGGCGGUAAAAGAUGAGCAUGCGUCCUAUUAGUUAGUAGGUGAGGUAAUGGCUCACCUAGACUACGAUAGGUAGGGGUCCUGAGAGGGAGAUCCCCCACACUGGUACUGAGACACGGACCAGACUCCUACGGGAGGCAGCAGUGAGGAAUAUUGGACAAUGGACGAAAGUCUGAUCCAGCUAUGCCGCGUGCAGGAUGACGGCCCUAUGGGU
rnacentral:rRNA from 1 species